GUUGGUAUUUUGUCUAAGCUCCACCCCCACAGUUACCUGGCAACAGCAGGUAUGCUCCGCCCCACAGUUACCUGGCAACAGAUAUCUGUGCCUGACACUAUAUAAGGGGCUGCUUGCCCCCCUCACUCUCUUGAUUCUCUCUUCUCUGCUCUGCUCUCUUUCCCUCUUCCCCUUUGUCCCUUCUCUCCCCACCCCCCUCCUCUCCACAGCUCAUGGCUGCCCUUUACUUCUCCCCUCUUCUACUCUUCUUCUCUCAUUAAAACUCUCCACGAGGAACCACGUUGGCUUGGUGUGGUCUGUCCGGAUGCGAGCCGAGAUUUAAACCCCAACAAUUAUAGUCUUCUGAGGAUAGCUCACAGUUGGUGCCACGUGUUUUUUUACUUGUAGAAGAAAUAAAGCAAGUUGUGAGAAUGAACGGGAAAAAAUAUUCACUCCUGAGGCAAGUGUGAGAGCUAGAAGUGGAGUGGGUGGGGAGGUGCUGAGGUAGGAGAAUGGAGAGCUCCACGCCACCUCGGUUACAAAGCUACAUCCUGUCAUAAGCAGAAAAAUGAAGCCGGAGUCAACAAGCAAACAAAUCGGAUUCCUGCCCACCUUUGAUGCAGAAGCUUAUUUUUUUUUUCUUAGUCUUUUACCUUAGACAGCAAUUCUAGAAACUUCUUUACUCAGUGGUCUCUGCCUUAGCGUGUUUGGCAAAGGUACCCUCAAUGACCGUGUCUUGUGGCACAUUGCCGUUCUGCCAGCUUCCCUCGCUGGGACUCAGACAAAGGACACAGAGUGGCCCUACAGCUCUGAAAAUAGAAGUCCUGAGGCCUCCCAUGACCACCCUCUCCUCGAGGUGCCUGCCCUUUCUCAUAUGCAGAUGAGACUCUCCGCAAUCAGAAACAAAGAAUCCCCCUGAGAGGAAGGUACCCAUCUACAGAACUCCAACUCAUCCCCAGACUUAGGCUCUGCUCACUGAGAUGAAAUGUAUGGCCAACCUGUGACCUGAUUGUCUCUUAAAAAAGAAAGAAAAGUAAAUAAACGAGCAAUCAAUGUCUAAUCUCCUCAGAUGCCCAGCGGGAUGUGGAACUCAGGUUUUGCUGUGUGGGAACCACCGCAUGCAGGGCCUGAAUUCUUAACUGUUCAUCUGUGAGAUCCUGCACACCUGUGUUCCCUCAAGAUCGGCUUACCUCCCGUGGGUGAACACGCCUUCGAGCUCCCGGUGAUGAAGCCAAUGACAGUAUUGUUUACGUGGCUGCUGGUCACCUCAUCUGUAACCCUGGAAAAGCGGUCUCCUUCCCUAGUGAAGAGACAACCCACAGGAAGGAAGCAACCUGCCAGCUGCACAGAGGACGGGGACAAAUAUCCAGAUACACAAAGAACCACAAGAAUGCUGGGCGGUGGGGGCGCACACCCUUAAUCCCAGAACCUGGGAGGCAGAGGCAGGCAGAACUCUUGAGUUGAGGCCAGCCUGGUCUAAAGAGUGAGUUCCAGGUCACAGAGAAACAGUGUCUAAAUCAAUCAAUCAAUAAGGAAAAAGAAAACACCUCACAGACUUGCCCAUGGACAAUCCACUAGAGGAAUUUUCCCAAUUGAAGUUCUCUUCCCACAUAACUCCAUAGUCUGUGUCAAGCUGUGUCAAGAACUAGUCAGGACAGAAUGUAUACACACGUGCAUACUUACGGUGUGUGGAUACCUUUUAAAGCCAGACAGGGGAGCAUGGACAGAGGAGGACGAGAGCCUAGAGGUGAUGACGGUGAGGUGAGGCCAACUGAGAGAGGGAAGGCAUGAGAUUGGGGGGACAGAUGCAGGCAGUGGGAGGAGAUGGAUAAGCACAAAGUCCAAUGACACGCAUGUGUGGAGGUGCAGUGGUACAAUCUCCAUAUAAAUAGCGGUAACCUUUGAAAGGAAGAUGACCACGUCCACGUCUUGCCCCUUACACAAAUGGUAGGUAUUUUCUUGUGAGAGGUGGAGUGCUAAGCCACAACUGAGAGACUUUAGAGAUGGCGACGUGGGCAAGUAUCCUGAGACACGGGUGUGUGUGUGUGUGGCGGGAGGGGGUGUCUUGGGUCAGCAUCACCUGGAACUUCUAUAAAGUGUCACUUCUUGGGCCCAACACAGUCUUUCCGAUUCAGACACUGUGGGAGUAAAGCCCAAAAUCCUGUAGUCUAACCCUCAGGUGACUUUUCAGGUAAGAUAUAUAUGUAUAUAUAUGUAUGUAUAUAUAUAUGUAUAUAUAUAUGUAUGUAUAUAUAUAUAUACAUACAUACAUAUAUCCAGAUAAUUAUCAAUCUAAGGCGGGUGAGGCCAAACAUCUGUUCUCUGUGCCCAACCUCUCCAUUUCACACUCAAAAGUGGAGUCUCUGACGGUUUGUGCCACUCCAGUUCAGAAACGGGGCAGGCACAGCACAUGGACUACCUUUCCCACUACCGUCCACAGGGAGGCAGCAGAGAGUCACGUAAAAGUCCGCACAGAGCAAGAAACCCCUGCUUGGACUCCAUCACUUUGUCUGGAACAACCCGUGUCGUUUCAGAAGUUGUGCUCAAGACCCAAGCCCUGUACAAGGAUUUGAUGACUCUCCUUGGGAAUCCGAGUUUCCAUCCCAACAUAGCAGAACUUUGGAAUGAGUACAAACCUAGGCAGCAACCUGCCCUGGCAAGGCGAGGUUGGCUUGCAAACAGAAAUUAGGGGUUGUCAGAGGCCUCUCAAAGUAGUGGUUCUCUCUGAUACCAUGAAAACAUAGUAGGGACCAGGGAUCAGUCAAUGAAAUGUUAACCACACAGCUUGACUCAUUCUCACCAUUCACAUAAAAAGAAAAAUGAAUGAGUGAAUACGUGAAUGAACAAACAAAUAUGUAGUCGUGGGCACAUGUCUACAAUCUCAGCACGGUGAGGCAGAGACGAGAGGGAUCCCCUGGGACUAGCUGGCCAGCCAGAAGGUACUAAGACAUCUCCUUUUCUUAUUCAGAUUAGAAGCACCAGCUCCCGGUUCCGGGUGCUCAGGGUGUUGCGCGCGCACACACACACACACACACACACACACACACACACACACACACACACACCAUGCUUAAUCCUCUGGACACGGGCACUGCACGGUUGCUCCAGGUGAGUCCUGUUUCUUGUCAAUCAAACCUCUGAGAAAGCGAGGCCGAUUCCACGAUAGACUUAAACUGGCAGUUCAGGAGAUUAGGCCUAAAAACCCAGGCUUCGGGAAGCUAAUCAGAAACUGCCUUAUCACCUGGCCUGAAGCAAGGACAGUGGGUCAGCACCGGUUUGCAACCCCACGCCCAGGUCGUGGAAUGUCCUUAGAGAUAGAGUAAGACAAAGACCACAUUCCCCAGACUCCUCACCAACAGUUUGCAGCCACCACGCCCGGUAAUGGUUUUGGAAUGCCUAGAGAUAGAGUAAGACAGAGCUACCCUGGAAUUCCCUGAAGGUGUGAAAACCUGGGCCUUCAAGCUCACUUGGGGAGGGGGUGUCUCUCUAUUUUGGAAAUGGGAGACCCCAGCAUGCUGGACUAAUGCAGAAUAAAGCACUCUUAGCGUUUACAUACUA